rnacentral:rRNA from 1 species
UACGGAGGGUGCAAGCCUUGAUCGGAAUUACUGGGCGUAAAGGGCGCGUAGGCGGUUUAGAAAGUCAGAUGUGAAAUUCCGGGGCUCAACCCCGGAGCUGCAUUUGAAACUUCUAAACUAGAGUUUAGUUAGGGAAAACGGAAUUCCACGUGUAGCGGUGAAAUGCGUAGAUAUGUGGAAGAACACCGGUGGUGAAGACGGUUUUCUGGGCUAACACUGACGCUGAGGCGCGAAAGCAAGGGGAGCAAACAGG